UCCUCAUCUUAUGUUUUUCUUGUUAUCUAUAACUCCGGCUUCACCUCUACGUCAUAUUUUUCACUAUUUUUCUUAAAAAAUUCUCUACUGUUGGAGAUGGUUUUUAGAUAUGAGGUCAUAUAUUUACUCUAUGUGUAGACUCCAUAAAUAAAAGAACUAAAAACAUCUCCAAUGGUAACUUGGUGUGCAUCCUAUAUGUACUAGUUUUUUAAUGAAUGUGAGAUAAAAUUUCUCUAAUUUAAGGAUGUGAAAAAAAUCCAUCUCCAACCAUAAAUCAUAUAUAUUAGUUGAAAACAUUUUAAAUUAUUGAUUUGAAACCUAAAUAUUUAACUCUUUAAUUAAGAACCUUUGAUUUUAAUGGUUAGAAUGUUUACAUCCUCUAAGGAAACCUCUAAAACCAGAGGAUGGAGUAGAAGAUGUGAGAAUAACUACCUGACACAUCAUCCUCACAUUUGUCUUUAAAGUUUCCAUUGGGGAAGAUUUUUUUGUUAAAACUCUGAAAAUCCUAUGUGGUCUAAAAUAUAGGAAUUCUUCGUUGUGUAACGGGAUUUGAUGCGGAACAUCCAGUUGAGCUUUCGAAGGGAACUGUUGAAUUCAUUGAUCCAACAGAACAUAUGGUGCGACCUCUAAUACCACCAAUAUGGUUUUCCUCAUUGGUGUAUCAAUUUCUGCUGUUAAAAAAUUUGGAUGAUGGGGACAUAUGUAAGCUUCAGAAGUCAAAUUGAUUAGAUUGGUGCAACCAGACAUAAUAGCAUGCCUACAUGGGAAGGAUGUCAAACACUAGCUAUCGUUCUUACUUAUGAAGCGAUAUUAGAACUUCUUUAGUUGUGGAAUGGAAAACUACUGGAGAUUGUCCAUCUUGAAAAAGUGCAGAGAUUCAUGAGGGUUAAUGGGAGGAAACAAUCAAGUCAGAAGAGAUAAUCAUGUACGUGGACCGCAAAACAGAAAUGAUUUAGGUAAUUAGAAAAAACACUUCCAUAUGCAAAUUCAAGAAAUUCAUUGCUUUUGAACUCAAGAGUUUAUUAAUCUGUAAAAUAGUCUUUCAAAAAUAGUAGCUCUGACAGAGGUGAAAAUCCACAUAAAAUAUUUCAGCAUCGAGAAUUUACAAAGCAGUACAAGAACUGUCGGUAGUUUGUAGGUUGUUUGCUUUGUUGAGUAAUAAGAUUAAACAUCUGUGCUCGUACCA